rnacentral:miRNA from 1 species
UAUUUAGAAUCACUGCCGUGGGGCUGGAGAGAUGGCUCAGCCGUUAAAGGCUAGGCUCACAGCCAAAACUAUA